ensembl:misc_RNA
UUGAGACUGAGAAAUAUUCAUCAGCUGUAGAAAAUGUCUGUCCCAGGGCAAGGCUUCACAAGUUGUUUUUAUUUUUAUCACCUCUACUCCCUUAAGCUUCUCUGGAUUUCACCAAGUUACUUUGCUGCUGAGACCCUGUAAAAGUCAAGGCCUUCCAUAAAGAUAUUCCUCCCAGAUGCUCAAUAAA